UACGUAGGGUGCGAGCGUUAAUCGGAAUUACUGGGCGUAAAGCGUGCGUAGGCGGUUAUGUAAGUCAGAUGUGAAAGCCCCGGGCUCAACCUGGGAAUUGCAUUUGAGACUGCAUAGCUAGGAUGCGGAAGAGGGAAGUGGAAUUUCCGGUGUAGCGGUGAAAUGCGUAGAUAUCGGAAGGAACAUCAGUGGCGAAAGCGACUUCCUGGUCCAGCAUCGACGUUCAGGCACGAAAGCGUGGGGAGCAAACAGG
rnacentral:rRNA from 1 species